UUUAUGGAGAGUUUGAUCCUGGCUCAGGAUGAACGCUGGCGGCGUGCCUAAUACAUGCAAGUCGAGCGAACGGAUGAGAAGCUUGCUUCUCUGAUGUUAGCGGCGGACGGGUGAGUAACACGUGGAUAACCUACCUAUAAGACUGGGAUAACUUCGGGAAACCGGAGCUAAUACCGGAUAAUAUUUUGAACCGCAUGGUUCAAAAGUGAAAGACGGUCUUGCUGUCACUUAUAGAUGGAUCCGCGCUGCAUUAGCUAGUUGGUAAGGUAACGGCUUACCAAGGCAACGAUGCAUAGCCGACCUGAGAGGGUGAUCGGCCACACUGGAACUGAGACACGGUCCAGACUCCUACGGGAGGCAGCAGUAGGGAAUCUUCCGCAAUGGGCGAAAGCCUGACGGAGCAACGCCGCGUGAGUGAUGAAGGUCUUCGGAUCGUAAAACUCUGUUAU
rnacentral:rRNA from 1 species